rnacentral:rRNA from 1 species
CCUACGGGAGGCAGCAGUAGGGAAUAUUGCUCAAUGGGGGAAACCCUGAAGCAGCAACGCCGCGUGGAGGAUGAAGGUUUUAGGAUUGUAAACUCCUUUUGUGAGAGAAGAUAAUGACGGUAUCUCACGAAUAAGCACCGGCUAACUCCGUGCCAGCAGCCGCGGUAAUACGGAGGGUGCAAGCGUUACUCGGAAUCACUGGGCGUAAAGAGUGCGCAGGCGGGCUUGUAAGUCAGAUGUGAAAUCCUGUAGCUUAACUACAGAACUGCAUUUGAAACUAUGAGUCUAGAGUGGGGGAGGGGUUAGGUGAAAUUUUGGUGGUAGGGUUAAAUCCCGU